rnacentral:rRNA from 1 species
GCCAGCAGUGAUAGGUUGAAUGCAUGACCAAUUGGAUCACUGAAGUCAAGCAACAUUGUGCGGGAAUCGAUCUGGAUGGGUGACCAUCUGGCCGAUCACGCGCUGCUGGCU